GACCACCCUCUCGGUGAAGAGCCUCUUCCUGAUGUCCAGCCUGAACUUCCCCUGCCGCAGCUUGACACCGUUCCUGGGGUCCUGUCGCUGGUCACCAGAGAGAACAGAUCGGCACCUGCACCCCCACUCCCUCUCGUGAGCUUACUUCUUGAAAGAACUAACUCCAUCACACCCAAGCAAGGUUAUCUUGUGGCACGAGGUCCUAGAGAAGACUUAAUGGAAGGAAGAAGCAGGAUGGAGAAUUGUGACAGCAGCAGAUGUCCCCAUCCCGGCGAGUGGUGAGCUACUGCUUUUGUCUGCAGAAGGAUGCAGCUCGUAUUUACCCGCUUGUAUGGCCAGUGGUUCUUGUGCUGUCUGUCCUGACCCUUUGGCUGGCAUGGGGCAUCGUGGUCACAUAGUGAGAGGCACAACCGAACACCGUCCCAUUUUCUGUUAUUUUUUUCUGCUGGACCAACUCUGCAGAGCAGGUUGCUGCUGCCUGGUUGUGCAAGGCCUGCAGCCAGCGCAAGGAGAAACACUGGUGGCUGUGGUCAGGAGAGGAAACGAGGCUGGGACCACAGCGGCUGUGAUUUAUGUACACUUACCUCGCUGCGGAACAAAACCACUAAUGAUUUUAGCCCUCUUGUCAGCCCAGCGCCAUGCCACCUGCGUAUUGGGACAGCCUGGUCUGGAGCAAGGCUUGCACACCAGCAUGGCAGCCUGCGGGACGAGCUGCCUGCCCGCAUCUGCUGGCAGCCUUCUCGGUGAGGGCGAGCAGCUUUGGUGGGCAGGCUGCUGCUCCCGCGGACGUGGGCUCCAUCACCCGGGUUCCCAGGGCGCCUGGCCUCCAUCCCGGCUGGAUUCUUCCCUUGUCCAGGCCCGUCGUUCUCUCCAGGUGGAGGAACUGGACAAUGAGUACAGGUAGGAAGGACGCUACCUCUGAUGCAUACAUAAGAUAGGAGUGGAUCGGAUGCCAGCCCAUUCAAGGUAAAAAUGCUACGAAUCCCUUUUUGAUACCCAUGUUUUCCAUACAUUUCAACAAUUAAGUAGCUUGUAUAGGACUGAUGCGAAGAUCACUGAAGUUGCACAGCUCUUUGGUAAGUCCUUGUGGUUUAAUUUGGUAUCGUGGUUGACAACAGAAGCUUUUUGCCAAUAUUUUAAGAUCAAGAGUGUCUUAUAAAAGUCUGCUUAUUGUAUGAGUUUCUAGAGUGCAUUACGUAACUAAGCCUAGAGCACGUUUGGUAAAUAUUUAGAAGAGAACCGUCUUGCUUUUCAUCCUUGUACUCAAACUCAUUUACAUGGGUUUCCUCCUCCAGCCCCAUUUCCACUCACCUUUCAGGGGUAGCAGAAGCUGCACAUUACAUUUAUGCCCUAUAAUUGGAUUGUGGGAUGCUGCAACAUCAUCUUC